rnacentral:rRNA from 1 species
UACGGGGGGGGCAAGCGUUGUUCGGAAUUACUGGGCGUAAAGGGCGCGUAGGCGGCCCUCUAAGUCAGACGUGAAAUCCCUCGGCUUAACCGGGGAACUGCGUCUGAUACUGGAUGGCUUGAGUUUGGGAGAGGGAUGCGGAAUUCCAGGUGUAGCGGUGAAAUGCGUAGAUAUCUGGAGGAACACCGGUGGCGAAGGCGGCAUCCUGGACCGAUACUGACGCUGAGGAGCGAAAGCCAGGGGAGCAAACGGG